AUACUUCCCUGGCAGGGCGAAUGCCAUGAUCAAAAUGGUGGUUUUUCUAGUGUGAAGCUCCUCGAUUGCAAUUCAGUUGGGCUGACCCCAUGAUUACUCCAAAUGAGAGAAAUUCAACUGCAUAAUGUAUGGUCGUUAGUGAGUAUAUUCCUGCUGUUAUGCCUCUAA